UUCGGGAACUCUGACACAGGUGCUGCAUGGCUGUCGUCAGCUCGUGUCGUGAGAUGGUUAGGGUUAACGUCCCGUAACGAGCGCCAACCCUUGUCCUUAGUUACCAGCACGUUAUGGUGGGCACUCUAAGGAGACUGCCGGUGACAAACCGGAGGAAGGUGGGGAUGACGUCAAGUCAUCAUGGCCCUUACGGCCUGGGCUACACACGUGCUACAAUGGUCGGUACAAAGGGUUGCCAAGCCGCGAGGUGGAGCUAAUCCCAUAAAACCGAUCGUAGUCCGGAUCGCAGUCUGCAACUCGACUGCGUGAAGUCGGAAUCGCUAGUAAUCGUGAAUCAGAAUGUCACGGUGAAUACGUUCCCGGGCCUU
rnacentral:rRNA from 1 species